rfam:Triticum aestivum genome assembly, contig: Triticum_aestivum_CS42_TGACv1_scaffold_342571_4DL
UGCAUACUCCCUCUGUCCGGAAAUACCUGUCCUAAAAAUGGAUAAAAUGGAUGCAUCUAUAUAACUAAAAUAAGUCUAGAUACAACCAUUUGUAAGACAAGUAUUUCCGGACGGAGGGAGUAUACC